GCUCACUUUAGGAGCACAUAUACUAAAAUGAGAAUGAUACAGAGAAAAUUAACAUGGCCCGUGUGCAAGAACGACAUGCAAAUGUCAAGUUAUGUCAGUGUUCCUC